ACUUUGUAAUGUUUAUAGACAUAGCCUUGUGUAUGACUGUCUAAUCAACAGUGCAAGGAAUUAGUUGUGCUCUCAAAAGGAGUUAUGUGAAGGAAAGAUUAAAUGGAUACAUUUAAUUAAGUACAAUUACUACAAAAUCUAUAAUGACUGGGUAAGUCACCCGUAAGAAGGAUGAGUUAGUAGAGAUAUAAUAAUAUCUUACAGUUCAACUGAUGUGCAAGUUUAUAAGUAGACGUAGUGUGAAAGACUUAUCGCUAACGCAAUAGACGUUAUCUCGAAAGGAUAAAAGAAACCAAGAAGAUAUACAAAUUGGUAACUUGUAUAAGCCCUUGGUAAUACCAAAUAAGUUAGUUCCUCAUGAUGUCGUUGAAAAAUGACUAUAAGAUAAGUUGAAUUCGAUAGUAGCCCAAGAGGAAUCAAAUGAGUAAAACAAGUAUUAUAGGUAAAUAUUAUGUUUUUCUAUCUGAAUGAUUGUGCCUUGAAAAAGGUGGGUGAGGUCUGUGGGUAAAAAUUAAUUCCCAUCUGGUUUUGGAUUUUCUUCGGAAAAUUGGUGCAAGAAGCGUGGAGUUGCUAACCAUUGCUCAGACUUGUAUCGCCAGUAGCACGAUAACGAUAUUUAUGAAUGUUGUAAGGUGAAUAAAAGCCUAUGAUUUGUGAACAUUCCAAA
rnacentral:ncRNA from 1 species